rnacentral:rRNA from 1 species
UACGUAGGGGGCUAGCGUUGUCCGGAAUCAUUGGGCGUAAAGCGCGUGUAGGCGGUUCGGUAAGUCCGCUGUGAAAGUCGGGGGCUCAACCCUCGGAUGCCGGUGGAUACUGUCGGGCUUGAGUACGGAAGAGGCGAGUGGGAAUUCCUGGUGUAGCGGUGAAAUGCGCAGAUAUCAGGAAGAACACCCGUGGCUAAGGCGGUUCUCUAGUACGGUACUGACGCCUGAGACGCGAAAGCGUGGGGAGCGAACAGG